ACCCUCUUGGGAUUGCACCUGGAGAGUUUUCAGUACUUUACCAGUCUCGGCUACGGGGGGAAAGUCGAGCAGAGGCAUAAGCAUUCCAUUCCUCACUUGGGCAGUGGCUAGUGAGUGGAAGGCACUCUGCUACAAGU